rnacentral:sRNA from 1 species
AAUCUUAACGGUUUUUUUCCCCUACUCUUCUAAGAUUGAAGAAUUAGGGUCUGAAGGAAAAGUAGAAGAAGCCCAGGGGAUGAUGAAAUUAGUUGAGCAAUUAAAAGAAGAGAGAGAACUGCUAAGGUCCACAACCUCGACAAUUGAAAGCUUUGCUGCACAAGAAAAACAAAUGGAAGUUUGUGAAGUAUGUGGAGCCUUUUUAAUAGUAGGAGAUGCCCAGUCCCGGGUAGAUGACCAUUUGAUGGGAAAACAACACAUGGGCUAUGCCAAAAUU